rnacentral:miRNA from 1 species
UGACCUAGUAGUUAGAA